AUGGCUAUUAAGUUUAACUACUUUGCGGGGGUGACUAUUAACUAUUAAGUUUGAAAGCCUGACUCGGUAGAGGCGCUGAAACUCGUAUACUACGAUUUUACAUUAGCUCAUAUGGGCUGCUUCUCCUUUAUCCUAUGCUCUUUGAACAAAAUAUUUU